UCAUAUCAAGUUAGAACGAGGGAGAACUGUAGACUUGACAAUGAGAACUAAAAACUUCAUUUCUGUUGUUUUCCAUAUUUUCUAUUUCACAAAUUUCUAUUAUGGAUUUGAACUGGACUGAAAAUAACUAAAUGUACUACUAUUUUUGAACCUGUGGAUUUUGGAGGGUCAAACUUGCUGUAGAUUUGCUCAACCUGUGGAGGAACACAUUCUUUUGAUGCAAGAAUCUGUGUUUGAUGAGCUGUCAACUAGUCAAGCUCAGAUUUCUGUCCAAUGUAAGGAGAACUCUGAGGGUCAAGACGGAGUGGUGCUGUUUGACACGGAAGACUUUCCUAUGGUCAACAUCAACUGUCCUACCAGUGCAGAAGACCUGC